GACGAACGCUGGCGGCGUGCUUAACACGUGCAAGUCGAACGGAAAGGCCCUGCUUGCAGGGUACUCGAGUGGCGAACGGGUGAGUAACACGUGGGUGAUCUGCCCUGCACUUCGGGAUAAGCCUGGGAAACUGGGUCUAAUACCGGAUAGGAGCCAUUUUUAGUGUGAUGGUUGGAAAGUUUUUUCGGUGUAGGAUGAGCUCGCGGCCUAUCAGCUUGUUGGUGGGGUAAUGGCCUACCAAGGCGGCGACGGGUAGCCGGCCUGAGAGGGUGGACGGCCACAUUGGGACUGAGAUACGGCCCAGACUCCUGCGGGAGGCAGCAGUGGGGAAUAUUGCACAAUGGGCGCAAGCCUGAUGCAGCGACGCCGCGUGGGGGAUGACGGCCUUCGGGUUGUAAACUCCUUUCGCUAGGGACGAAGCUUUUUGUGACGGUACCUAGAUAAGAAGCACCGGCUAACUACGUG
rnacentral:rRNA from 1 species